GACGAACGCUGGCGGCGUGCUUAACACAUGCAAGUCGAACGGAAAGGCCUCUUUCGGGGGGUACUCGAGUGGCGAACGGGUGAGUAACACGUGAGUAACCUGCCCUUGACUUUGGGAUAACUUCAGGAAACUGGGGCUAAUACCGGAUAGGAGCUCCUGCUGCAUGGUGGGGGUUGGAAAGUUUCGGCGGUUGGGGAUGGACUCGCGGCUUAUCAGCUUGUUGGUGGGGUAGUGGCUUACCAAGGCUUUGACGGGUAGCCGGCCUGAGAGGGUGACCGGCCACAUUGGGACUGAGAUACGGCCCAGACUCCUACGGGAGGCAGCAGUGGGGGAGAUUGCACAAUGGGUGGAAGCCUGAUGCAGCAACGCCGUGUGCGGGAUGACGGCCUUCGGGUUGUAAACCGCUUUCGCUCAUGACGAAGCUUUGUGUGACGGUAGUGGGUAAAGAAGCACCGGCUAACUACGUG
rnacentral:rRNA from 1 species